rnacentral:rRNA from 1 species
GAUGAACGCUGGCGGCGUGCCUAAUACAUGCAAGUCGAGCGAACAGACGAGGAGCUUGCUCCUCUGACGUUAGCGGCGGACGGGUGAGUAACACGUGGAUAACCUACCUAUAAGACUGGGAUAACUUCGGGAAACCGGAGCUAAUACCGGAUAAUAUAUUGAACCGCAUGGUUCAAUAGUGAAAGACGGUUUUGCUGUCACUUAUAUGGAUCCGCGCCGCAUUAGCUAGUUGGUAAGGUAACGGCUUACCAAGGCAACGAUGCGUAGCCGACCUGAGAGGGUGAUCGGCCACACUGGAACUGAGACACGGUCCAGACUCCUACGGGAGGCAGCAGUAGGGAAUCUUCCGCAAUGGGCGAAAGCCUGACGGAGCAACGCCGCGUGAGUGAUGAAGGUCUUCGGAUCGUAAAACUCUGUUAUUAGGGAAGAACAAAUGUGUAAGUAACUAUGCACGUCUUGACGGUACCUAAUCAGAAAGCCACGGCUAACUACGUG